rnacentral:rRNA from 1 species
UACGGGGGGGGCAAGCGUUGUUCGGAAUUACUGGGCGUAAAGGGCUCGUAGGCGGCCAACUAAGUCAGACGUGAAAUCCCUCGGCUUAACCGGGGAACUGCGUCUGAUACUGGAUGGCUUGAGUGUGGGAGAGGGAUGCGGAAUUCCAGGUGUAGCGGUGAAAUGCGUAGAGAUCCGGAAGAACACCGGUGGCGAAGGCGGUUAGCUGGGCAGUUGCUGGACACUGAGGCGCGACAGCG